rnacentral:rRNA from 1 species
AUUGAACGCUGGCGGCAGGCCUCACACAUGCAAGUCGAACGAGCGGCGGACGGGAGAGUCAUGUCUGUAAACCUGCCUGAGGGCUGGGAAUACCUACUGGAAACGGUAGCUCAUACCGCUAACCUUCAGCUGUUCCCAGAUGGGCUUCGCUAGUAGGUGGGGUAAUGGAUCACCUAGGAGACGAUCCCUAGCUGGUCUGCGAGGAUGACCAGCCACACUGGAACGGAGACACGGUCCAGACUCCUACGGGAGGCAGCAGUGGGGAAUAUUGCACGAGGGGCGCAAGCCUGAUGGAGCCAUGCCGCGUGUGUGAUGAAGGCCUUCGGGUUGUAAAGCACUUUCAGCGAGGAGGCGUUACUCGCAGAGGAAGCACCGGCUAACUACGUGCCAGCAGCCGCGGUAAUAC